UACAGAGGUCCCAAGCGUUGUUCGGAUUCACUGGGCGGAAAGGGUGCGUAGGCGGUCGGGUAAGUCUGAUGUGAAAUCUCACAGCUUAACUGUGAAACUGCAUUGGAUACUAUCCGGCUCGAGGAAUGGAGGGGAGACUGGAAUACUUGGUGUAGCAGUGAAAUGCGUAGAUAUCAAGUGGAACACCAGUGGCGAAGGCGAGUCUCUGGACAUUUCCUGACGCUGAGGCACGAAAGCCAGGGGAGCAAACGGG
rnacentral:rRNA from 1 species